AUGGAAAGAGUAAAAAUGGCCAGUCAACAAACAGAAAAAUAUCUGGUGAUUCUCCUUAUAGCAUCAGGUGUUAUCUGUCAAGAUCAGAUUGGACCCAGUGGCGAGAGGACCAGUGUUAUCAGUACAGAAGGAGAUUCUGUGACACUCGAGUGUUCAUACGAUUCAAGCAGCAGCUAUGUUCUCUUUUAUUGGUACAGACAGUUUACUAACACACAGCCUCAAUUUGUGCUGGUGAAAGGCGGACGAUCAGAGAGAUAUAAGAUCAUACCAGACCCUCGAUUUGAAUCAACUUCAUCCCAGACAUCCACCUCACUGACUAUUAAAAGUAUAACUUUGUCAGAUUCAGCUCUCUAUUACUGUGCUCUAAUUAAUAGUAUCAGGCAGCCCAGUGUUACAAAGUGCCUGAGAGGCUUUACAAAAACUCACUCGGGAAAACUUGCAUUGAACAAAAUCACUUUCUGUGCUCAUAUUGCACCAAAAACCAAAACUGUCAUUGGUAGAGAGGGGAAUCUGCGACUCUCACAUGCUUGUAUGAAUCAAGCAGCCCUCAUGCUUUGCUCUUAUGGGGUAGACUGA